AGUGAACGCUGGCGGUAGGCCUAACACAUGCAAGUCGAACGGCAGCACAGUAAGAGCUUGCUCUUACGGGUGGCGAGUGGCGGACGGGUGAGGAAUACAUCGGAAUCUACUUUUUCGUGGGGGAUAACGUAGGGAAACUUACGCUAAUACCGCAUACGACCUACGGGUGAAAGCAGGGGAUCUUCGGACCUUGCGCGAUUGAAUGAGCCGAUGUCGGAUUAGCUAGUUGGCGGGGUAAAGGCCCACCAAGCCGACGAUCCGUAGCUGGUCUGAGAGGAUGAUCAGCCACACUGGAACUGAGACACGGUCCAGACUCCUACGGGAGGCAGCAGUGGGGAAUAUUGGACAAUGGGCGCAAGCCUGAUCCAGCCAUACCGCGUGAGUGAAGAAGGCCUUCGGGUUGUAAAGCCCUUUUGUUGGGAAAGAAAAGCAGCAGGUUAAUACCCCGCUGUUCUGACGGUACCCAAAGAAUAAGCACCGGCUAACUUCGUG
rnacentral:rRNA from 1 species